UAUUUUGCAUGCGUAUUAAUAUUUUUUUUUCGAAGUCUUUUGGAAAAAAUUCAUAUCAUAUUCUAAUGUUCUAAAUUUCUGAUUUUUCCCCCUCAGAUUUUGCUUCACGCGCACAUGUUAAGAAAUUUUUACUUUCUAGCAAAUAAUUCUACAUUGAGGAAACAUUUAAAUUAUAUUCUAUAAUCUAAAUUUUUAAAUACGCAAAGCUUCUUUAUUUAAUACAAAAUUAGUUUAAAAAAUUAAUAUUAUUUUUUUAUGAGCGCGUUUAAAUGUUUGAUACAAGAAUGUUUAGUUAUAGUUCAUCUUUUUAAUCGAAUUUUAUUUUUAUUGGAACAUUGUCAACAAUUCAAAUCUCAUCUUUCGCGCCUUGAACUUCUUUCAAACGUAAACAUUUCUCAGGCAAACCAUGCGCAGUUGUAUGAAUUUGGUUCUGCGCACACUUCACCAACUAUUCGGCUCGCGCCUCUCGCGCCGCGGCUCGACCGUGGCUCACUUUUCAAACAAAAUAACCGUCGUUGUUUUGAUUUGGUGUGGAUGCCGGGUUUUGUGACUGAUCGCAGAGUUUUGCCGUUUUUUCCGGAAUAAUGGUCAAGAUACGGUUGGAAAGUGAAGCCAAAGCGUCCUGGGAUUGGCAAACGUUCAAAGUACGGUGGAAAUUCGGGUGAAUUGACUUUAAUAACGCGCUCGAUAUGGAGGAAUUCGACUUGCAGCCCGCGUCCGGUCACUUCGUGAACGACCCAAGCCAAGCUACUGCCGCCCAGACAGGGACUGGGCCCUGGAUUACAAAUCAACCUCCGCUCCAAAUUAAUUUCAAAUCAGAUCCGAGUUCAGAGUCCUGAAUUAAUUCAACAACUCGAUUACUUCAAAGACGGACGGGAAUAUUCGAUAAUAAACUUGAUUCACAAGAAGCCUAACGAGAGGACCGGAUUGCUCUGAUCGUUUUAACUUUUGAGAUUGGGGAAAAGAGCCAUCGAAGAGAAAAAUGUCACAUUCCUCUGAGUUUGAUGGUGAGAACCGUGGACUUAAUUUUUCAAAAGUUGAUUUUAAGGUUGAAAUAUAUUUGAUUAAAUUAUGCUUUUAUUAACUUGUGAUUUAAAUAUUUGGAUAAUAAAAAAUUGGUUUAACUUCAAUGUUGAAAUUUUUAAUAAAAUUAAAUAAUAUCUCUACUGGUUUAAAUUUUAAUAAAUCAAUAAGGAUGUUUGAAAUAUGGAUUAUAUAAUGUAGCAAAGUUGAUUAUAUGUUCAAUACAAGGAAUGCAACACUUAUUGCUUAAUUAUCUCAAUUUAAAAAUUAUGUCGUACGUAAUAAUGAUAAUUUGCAACUGCUGUAAUAAGGAACUGCUGAGAAAAAGAUUAAUAUUUUACAUGUUAUUUACUAUUAUGAUUUGUGAUUGUACUUAUUGUAUUUUAUUUUAUUGUAUUUUUAUGUUGUUAUGAAAUAAAGACCAUUAUUUUACUAAUAAAAAAUGUGAGCUGAUUUAAAUUUAUGCAACCCGCAAAGAGAAUAAACUUGGCAAUAAACUAAAAUAAGGGGAGGUAAGCUUUGACACAAACUAGGGAAUAAACAAGAAGAUCACAAAGGGGAGGGUGGACAUAAACUGGGGUACAAACCAUGGCAUAAACUAGGGAAUAAACUUGGCCACAAACAUCCUCGUCUAGAAGCUGGAAUAAACAUGGAAAUAAACGAGUGCCAAAUUCCUACCCUGUUUGUGACAACAGUUUAUUCCAUGUUUUUUUCCCUGUUUCUGACAAGUUUUUGCCUCAAAAAUGUUAUGGGGGCUUCCAAAGAUUUUCCUUUCUUGAAACCCUUAUGCUAAAAAAUU